rnacentral:misc_RNA from 1 species
UUUCCAUAGGUGAACCUGCGGAAGGAUCAUUAUUGGAUUUUGAAACUUCAGGCUGCUGCUGGCUCUCCUCGGAGGGCAUGUGCACGCUUGUUGUCCAUUAUUUCUCCCACUGUGCACAAAUUGUAGACCUUUCAGUAGGCCUAUGUUGUUUUUCACAAUCUCUGAAUGUAAUAGAAUGGUUUUGAAUCUUGGGAAAUACAAUACAACUUUCAGCAACGGAUCUCUUGGCUCUC